rnacentral:lncRNA from 1 species
GUGAAAAUCAUCAACAAGAAGAAGCUCACCGGCACCAACCUCAUGUCCAACAUCAAGCGCGAGAUCACCAUCAUGCGCCGCCUCCGCCACCCCAACAUCGUCAAGCUCUACGAGGUCCUCGCCUCCAAGACCAAGAUCUACUUCGUCGUGGAGUUCGUCAAGGGUGGAGAGCUUUUCGCCAAGGUGUCGAAGGGGCGGUUCUCAGAGAAUCUCAGCCGGAAGUACUUCCAGCAGCUCAUCUCCGCCGUCGGGUACUGCCACUCCCGCGGGAUCUACCACCGCGAUUUGAAACCCGAGAAUUUGUUAAUUGACGAGAGCGGGAAUUUGAAGGUUUCGGAUUUCGGGCUCAGCGCCGUGGCCGACCAGAUCCGACCCGACGGGCUCCUCCACACGCUUUGCGGGACCCCUGCUUACGUGGCGCCGGAGAUUUUGACGAAGAAGGGAUACGACGGCGCGAAGGUGGAUGUGUGGUCGUGCGGCGUGAUACUGUACGUUUUGAACGCCGGGUAUUUGCCGUUCAACGACCCCAAUUUGAUGGCGAUGUAUAAGAAGAUUUACAAGGGCGAGUUCCGGUGCCCGAAAUGGAUGUCGCCGGAUCUGAAGCGGUUUUUGGGUCGGCUCAUGGAUACCAACCCGGCGACCCGGAUUACGAUCGACGAGAUUUUGAAGGACCCGUGGUUCAGAAAAGGCGGGUGCAAGGAAAUCAAAUUCUACGACGACGAUUGUUCGAUGGACGACGCCAAAAUCGGCGGCGGCGAGGAGGAACAGAAGGGCGUGACGAGCCUGAACGCGUUCGAUUUGAUUUCGUUCUCGGCCGGGUUGGACCUGUCCGGGUUGUUCGAGUCGUCGAGCGGCAGCCCUGCGGAGGACGGCGAGCGCUUUAUAUCGGAGGAGACGGUGGAGAAGGUGAUGGAGAGAGUGGCUGAGUUUGCCAAGGCGGAGAAGUUGAGGGUGAGGAGGAAGAAGGAUUGGGGACUGGAGAUGGAAGGGCAGAAUGGAAAUUUAUCAAUCGCUGUGGAGGUUUACAGAUUGACUGAUAAUCUGGUGGUGGUGGAGGCCAAGAGGACGGGCGGAGACGCCGCGCCGUUCAAGGAGAUGUGGAAGAACAAGCUCAGGCCUUAUCUGAUUUGCCCAAAUGAUCAAAGCAUCUCAUCGUCCAUGUCUUCUUCCUCCUCGCUCGCUUGCCCAGUCAACGAAUGCUGAUCGUGGGUGUCGUACGACAGGUCGUUUUCUGGAGUGGCAAUUAAAAUUAAUCAAGCAAUUAAUUAAUAAAAAAUGAAAAAAAAAAAUUGGUGAUGGUUUUGUUGUGUUUGUACUGGGAAAUAAAUAAAAAGAAAAGAUUACCAGCCGUUCUUGUAAUAUGGGGUUAAUACUGGGAUUAGUGAGAGGAGAUAUAUGUUUAUGUAUAGGUGAUAAUAUGUAGCCUUUGAUAGGCCUCAUCAACAGAGGAUGAAGGGUUGGAUUUAAUCGAAUCAAAACUCCCGACUCUUUUUGCAGUGCAUCUUGUAUAAUUGUAUUAAUUCAUUCUUUUUAUUAUUUCAAUUUCUGUGUUU